rnacentral:rRNA from 1 species
AACGAACGCUGGCGGCAUGCCUAAUACAUGCAAGUCGAACGAGAUCUUCGGAUCUAGUGGCGCACGGGUGCGUAACGCGUGGGAAUCUGCCCUUGGGUUCGGAAUAACAUCGGGAAACUGAUGCUAAUACCGGAUGAUGACGUAAGUCCAAAGAUUUAUCGGCAAAGGAUCGGCCCGCGUUGGAUUAGCUAGUUGGUGGGGUAAUGGCCCACCAAGGCGACGAUCCAUAGCUGGUUUGAGAGGAUGACCGGCCACACUGGGACUGAGACACGGCCCAGACUCCUACGGGAGGCAGCAGUGGGGAAUCUUAGACAAUGGGGGCAACCCUGAUCUAGCCAUGCCGCGUGAGUGAUGAAGGCCUUAGGGUUGUAAAGCUCUUUCGCUGGGGAAGAUAAUGACUGUACCCAGUAAAGAAGCCCCGGCUAACUCCGUGCCAGCCGCCGCGGUAA